UACGUAGGGUGCAAGCGUUACUCGGAAUUACUGGGCGUAAAGCGUGCGCAGGCGGUUUUGUAAGUCUGUCGUGAAAGCCCCGGGCUCAACCUGGGAAUGGCGAUGGAGACUGCAAGGCUAGAGUGUGUCAGAGGGGGGUAGAAUUCCACGUGUAGCAGUGAAAUGCGUAGAGAUGUGGAGGAACACCGAUGGCGAAGGCAGCCCCCUGGGAUAACACUGACGCUCAUGCACGAAAGCGUGGGGAGCAAACAGG
rnacentral:rRNA from 1 species